rnacentral:tRNA from 1 species
UAAAAUUUAGUUAAAUUAUAACUUUAGAUUGUCAUUCUAAAAUUUCUUUCAAGAAAUUUUAA